rnacentral:lncRNA from 1 species
CCCUUGACAGCAGAGUACUCCACAGUUGGUCACAUUCAGUGAUGAUGUACUCCUACAUCUCAUCUGCAUGCCAUAUCAGUAUCUCUAUACCAUUUGAUUAUGAGGACAACCAACGCAUAUGGCACACAACGACCUACACUUGAUAUCACUAUCAUCCUAAUAAUAGCGUAUCGUUUGGUCAUGAACCAGUUUAAGGACUAUGCGAUAAAUCUUUCUUUAUCGAUCAAAAUAAUCCUACGAAU